GACGCUGAGAGAGGAUCCGUUCACUGUCGCGCUUGCUCGGGCUGGCGGAGAAACACCGGCGCCAGCGCGAGGCGGGAUUCUGCACGAGCGGGAGCGAUGAGGAGGGAGACUUCACAGGCUUUGGAGUGGAUGGUCAAUGGUCCACGAGUUCUGAACAAGGCUCAUCAAGCAGACCCCUUAAACUGGCACACUCACAGGUGAAACCACCUUUGGUGCCACAUCUAAAAUCAUCACUAU